rnacentral:lncRNA from 1 species
CAAAGGUUUCUUAACGCCUUUAAUUAUAAAAUAAUUCGAAAAAUUAAUCAAGAAUAACCUUUGUGUUUUGAUUUAUAUAAUUGAUAUAAAUCAAAAUAUCGUGUUAUUUCUGAUUAAUUUUUCGAAUUACUUUAUUUAGGUGUUGAGAACCUUUGGUGACCCCAUAGUUUAAGUGUCUUUAAAAAGUACAUAGUGAGCUUUGGUCGUUACAUACAAACGUUCACCUAAAUUGUCCCAGUCAAUGAAUGACUUUAAUGUGUCAAUCAAUGGCCACAGCUACACUGUUUUGAAUUUCAUACUAU